rnacentral:misc_RNA from 1 species
UUACAGAAUAAACUAGCUGGGUUUCCAUUCUGUAUGUAUUCUGUGUCACUGCUUCUGCUCUGCUCCCGCUAUGCUACUUCACCAAUGCUGUAUGCCGUUAACUUCAAUAAUUUAAGAUGGCAACAGUUGCUGUCAAGGAGGAGACCAAUAGCUGCCAAGACCCAGUACCAGGCUGCAGCACUGCAUGGUCUCCAAACGAUAAUCAUGUUGAUGAAGAUGAUUGUGAUGGCCGCAAACGUGCAGCCGACUGUCAAUUAUUCAUCCAAGGCAAAGCAAAUUAUGUUCAAAAUGCAGAAGAAAGUUCGGAGAAAGAUGAUAGCAGCUUAUCUGGCCACAUCAACACACAAGCUCUAUUUUCAAGUGAUGAAACAAAAGGUUUGAAAAGAUAUGACUCAAUACAAUGCAAAAUUAAUAUACAGGAAGGAUUCUUGAACAUGAAUCAGAAGUUGCACAGAAAGUUAGUCCAGACGACUUGAGGUG